rnacentral:rRNA from 1 species
UACGUAGGGUGCAAGCGUUAAUCGGAAUUACUGGGCGUAAAGCGUGCGCAGGCGGUUUUGUAAGUCUGUCGUGAAAUCCCCGGGCUGAACCUGGGAAUUGCGAUGGAGACUGCAAGGCUAGAAUCUGGCAGAGGGGGGUAGAAUUCCACGUGUAGCAGUGGAAUGCGUAGAGAUGUGGAGGAACACCGAUGGCGAAGGCAGCCCCCUGGGUCAAGAUUGACGCUCAUGCACGAAAGCGUGGGGAGCAAACAGG